AUUGAACGCUGGCGGCAGGCCUAACACAUGCAAGUCGAGCGGAUGAAGGGAGCUUGCUCCUGGAUUCAGCGGCGGACGGGUGAGUAAUGCCUAGGAAUCUGCCUGGUAGUGGGGGAUAACGUCCGGAAACGGGCGCUAAUACCGCAUACGUCCUGAGGGAGAAAGUGGGGGAUCUUCGGACCUCACGCUAUCAGAUGAGCCUAGGUCGGAUUAGCUAGUUGGUGGGGUAAAGGCCUACCAAGGCGACGAUCCGUAACUGGUCUGAGAGGAUGAUCAGUCACACUGGAACUGAGACACGGUCCAGACUCCUACGGGAGGCAGCAGUGGGGAAUAUUGGACAAUGGGCGAAAGCCUGAUCCAGCCAUGCCGCGUGUGUGAAGAAGGUCUUCGGAUUGUAAAGCACUUUAAGUUGGGAGGAAGGGCAGGAAGUUAAUACCUUGCUGUUUUGACGUUACCAACAGAAUAAGCACCGGCUAACUUCGU
rnacentral:rRNA from 1 species